rnacentral:rRNA from 1 species
UGGGGAAUUUUGGACAAUGGGCGCAAGCCUGAUCCAGCCAUGCCGCGUGUCUGAAGAAGGCCUUCGGGUUGUAAAGGACUUUUGUUAGGGAAGAAAAGGCUGUUGCUAAUACCGACAGUUGAUGACGGUACCUGAAGAAUAAGCACCGGCUAACUACGUGCCAGCAGCCGCGGUAAUACGUAGGGUGCGAGCGUUAAUCGGAAUUACUGGGCGUAAAGCGAGCGCAGACGGUUACUUAAGCAGGAUGUGAAAUCCCCGGGCUCAACCUGGGAACUGCGUUCUGAACUGGGUGACUAGAGUGUGUCAGAGGGAGGUAGAAUUCCACGUGUAGCAGUGAAAUGCGUAGAGAUGUGGAGGAAUACCGAUGGCGAAGGCAGCCUCCUGGGAUAACACUGACGUUCAUGCUCGAAAGCGUGGGUAGCAAACAGGAUUAGAUACCCUGGUAGUCCACGCCCUAAACGAUGUCAAUUAGCUGUUGGGCAACCNUGAUUGCUUAGUAGCGUAGCUAACGCGUGAAAUUGACCGCCUGGGGAGUACGGUCGCAAGAUUAA